rnacentral:rRNA from 1 species
GACGAACGCUGGCGGCGUGCUUAACACAUGCAAGUCGAACGCUGAAGCUCAGCUUUUGUUGGGUGGAUGAGUGGCGAGCGGGUGAGUAACACGUGAGUAACCUGCCCCCUUCUUUGGGAUAACGCCCGGAAACGGGUGCUAAUACUGGAUAUUCACUAGUCUUCGCAUGGGGGUUGGUGGAAAGGGUUUUUCUGGUGGGGGAUGGGCUCGCGGCCUAUCAGCUUGUUGGUGGGGUGAUGGCCUACCAAGGCUUUGACGGGUAGCCGGCCUGAGAGGGUGACCGGUCACAUUGGGACUGAGAUACGGCCCAGACUCCUACGGGAGGCAGCAGUGGGGAAUAUUGCACAAUGGGCGCAAGCCUGAUGCAGCGACGCCGCGUGAGGGAUGGAGGCCUUCGGGUUGUGAACCUCUUUCGCUCAUGGUCAAGCCGCAACAAUGGUUGUGGUGAGGGUAGUGGGUAAAGAAGCGCCGGCUAACUACGUG